rnacentral:ribozyme from 1 species
AAAAUGAAGUAUGAACUCAUUCGCAAAAAGGAAAUUCGCCAGAAGAUUGAACAAAAGAAAAAGAGGUCAUUAUAAUCGGGAUCUAAUAUCUUGACCUAUUCUGUGUUUUCUUUUUCUUU